rnacentral:tRNA from 1 species
AAUUAAAUAGCCUAGUGGACAUGGCAUCUGCCCGGUAAGCGGAGCAUUGUGGGUUCGAUUCCCAUCUCUGGACACUUUUAUUUU